GUGCAACAUGUGAACAUGAGACGGUGAGAGCCUAAACUAGGGGUAUAUUGGCUGCAGCAUGGCAAAAGGAGAAGCUGAUGUGAGAAGAAUUGUAAGGAAGAAGAAAGAGCUCUUGGUCACUAACUGGAUAAGGGUUUCUGUGGGUCAAGAGGCUAAGCAUGGCACCACUAGGUUGUCUGCUUGGGGUCUCAAAUGACUGCAAUCAAGGUGUCUGCUAGGCUGAGGUCUCCACUGGAGAAGAAUCCACUCUUGUCGGCAGAAUUCAGUUCUUCGCAGGUGUAGCUGCCAUGGCCCCUGACUGAGCCCCACCCUAGUUCUUCAGGCCAAGAAGAC